CUCUUCUAUGCAACAUUAUUCCCACAUUUAAUUUGUCAUGUGACAUUAAAGAAAAAACAUGAAAAACAAAGAGGUUUGUUAAGAGUCUUAAGGAAGAAGGACUCUUCCUUUUCUUAAUGCAAAAGAGAGGUGGCAGCAUUUAAUUUUUGGCAUGAAACCAUAGUGGCAUGGAGGUCUCUUUCUAUACUUGAAACUCUUCUGAGUUAAAUAGGAGUCCAAUUAAAAUAGACCCAAUCCAAUC
rnacentral:lncRNA from 1 species